rnacentral:rRNA from 1 species
AUGAAUUGUUUAUUCUGGAAUAUCAGGGGUAUCACUACCCCAGGAAAGAAACCUUGUAUUAUAGAUACCUUGACUAAAACAAAUGCUAGUAUAGUUGCUUUCCAGGAAACUAAGAAAGAAGAGCUUACUACUGCCUUUCUUAAGUCCAUUAGUGGGAAUAAGAAUUUUCUCUGGCACCAUCUCCCUGCUGUAGGCACUGCUGGUGGUGUUUUGGUUGGUGUGGAUGCAGAUAUUUUUGAGGUCCUGCAAUGGAGCUCGCUGAAUUACUCUGUGUCCUGUAACCUGAAAGUUAAAGCUAAUGGGACCUGCUUUAGAGUUAUAGCUGUUUAUGGGUCUCCAUACGAUGAGAGCAAAGAUGCUUUUAUCUCUGAACUCCAUAGCCUCUUUGUGGAUGACCAAAUGCCCACUCUCAUAGGAGGAGAUUUUAAUCUAGUUAGAUAUCAGCAAGAUAAGAGUAAUGGUAAUAUUAACCAUCUCUGGGCUGAUAAAUUUAAUGCCUGGGUGGAAAUAUGGAGCCUUCUAGAAAUUAGGAUGUCGGGUAGGAAAUUCACUUGGGCUAAUAACCAAGAGAAUAACAUCAUGACUACCAUAGAUAGGAUCUUCUGCACCACUGAACUGGAAGCUAUGUUCCCUCUAUGCACCUCCCAAUCCCUCCCCGGAACUGGGAGUGACCAUACUCCCCUUCUAUGGGAUUUAGAGUUGGGGAGCAGUACUAGAGGCUCCAGUUUCAAAUUUGAAAAAUGGUGGUUGCUCCAUAAGGAUUUCAAGGAUUUGGCCAUCAAGAACUGGACAGCUCCAGCCAAGAAGGACAAACCAAUAGAUGUCUGGCAAGAAAAAGUUAGAAGAUUCAGAAAAUUCUCCAAAGGGUGGACUAAGAAUGUAGAAGCAGAGAUUAGGAAGUUGAAAACUGCUCUCACAAAAGAGUAUGAUGGGUUGGAUAUCAAAUCUGAAACAACUUGUCUCUCUGAUGUUGAGGUUGCUAGGAUGCAGAAUAUUCUAAAAGAACUUAGAUAUAUCUAG